rnacentral:rRNA from 1 species
GUCCUAGCCGUAAACGGUGAUCACUAGGUGUUGGGAGCAUCGACCCUUCCAGUGCCGCAGCUAACGCAUUAAGUGAUCCGCCUGGGGAGUACGGCCGCAAGGUUGAAACUCAAAGGAAUUGACGGGGGCCCGCACAAGCGGUGGAGCAUGUGGUUCAAUUCGACGCAACGCGAAGAACCUUACCCAGGCUUGACAUGCACUGGACUGGUGUGGAAACACAUCUUCCCUUCGGGGCCGGUGCACAGGUGCUGCAUGGCUGUCGU